rnacentral:tRNA from 1 species
AGCUUUAAGGUAAGCGUCAGCCUUUUAAGCUGAAGACAGGUGACCCCCAACCACCCUCAGCGA